UUGGUUGCAACAGCUGGAAGAAGGGGUACUGUCCUUGAUUUGUUGAACAAACAAUAUUUGUCUUGGCUCAUGUAAGACUGAAACAACACCAGACAAGCCAUAUAGUAUGUUUGUGAACUGCUGGAAGUAGUCCUUUAGUGUAUUUGUAUUUAUGAACAAGAACAAUCUUUGUUUCACAGAUCAGUUUGAAACAGCCAAUUUAUUCAUCCAAGUGGGAGCUUUAUUUUUCAUCUGAAUUUUUGAAACUUCAUUCGAUUUAAAAGAGCAGCAACAAUUUAUUGAUCACUACACAUAGGAACUUCAGCCAAGAAAUUAAAAGACGCUUGCUCCUGGGAAGGAAAGCUAUGGCAAAUCUAGACAG